CCCUGGUGCUGGGGAGUGGAGGCGAGUUGUGCUUCCUGCUGGGAGAGAGAAGGGCCUUGGGAAGCAGCUCCAUGAGCCACAGCUGUGCCGAGCCCGGGAGUCUGUCCAGCAGGAUGUCGAGUGCCACCAUGUCCCUGAGGUUCCCCUUUCUGCUGUUGGGAGAGCACGAGGUGGAUGGAGAGGAUCCCCAGCCAUCUGCAGGCAAAAGGGACUCGCAGAACUGCGAUUUUUCUCCAGGUCUCUUAAGGUGGACUUUCAGGGUACCAUGGGAUGUGAAUGCAAGAACCUGCCAAGAAAACCAAUGUCCAAGAUGAUUGAUGAGUGCAGGACCUGAGAGAACCACCUUGAAUGACAACCUCGAGCAGUUUCCAAUAUUGGAUUGCAAAGAUGGCCUUUGCUGCAUCUCCUUGAGCAAGGAAAGCCAAGAAACCUUUGCUUUGGCAGGAGAAAAUCCAGAAAGCCGGAAGGAAGAAAAGAAGCCCCCUGACUCCUCCUGAGCCCCAGACAGCCCAUGAACUGCCUUCCUGGGAAUGAUAGGACGGGGUGGACUCUGGAUUGCUCCCUCUGGAUGUGUGGUAAGACUGUUCUGCCAACUUCUCCAA